AAGAAGUUUGUGCUGCCUUAGACAGAGCAAACUCCGAGUUGGCAUUGAAAAUUUGUGAAGUACAAGCAGUUGAAUUUGAAUUGUGGAUAUGGAAAUCCAUUGCCCAACGCUUAAAUGACGACCUUGAAGAAAAUCAGGCUUUGCGUAAAGAACUAGAAGCUUCACUUCUUGCACAAGUUGAAGUCGGGGAAACCUUCAAACAAGAGCUUAAAUCAAGAGAGUCAGAAGCUGCUGCUUCUGCUAGAAUGGAGGCAGUCAUGUCCUUUGAGUUGGAGAAAGAGAGUUUUCUCCGAACCAUGAGAGAAAAGGACAUGAUCUUGGAGGAUCUCCAGAAAGAGAUUGGUUGGCUGGAAGAAGAAUCACUGAGAAGAGAUUUUGAAGAUGCAGUUGUUGCACAUGUAGGGGCAGAGAGGACUCUUGAGUUUGAAAAAGAGAAUUUUAGACAGCUUCUAGAAGAGAAAGAUCAUAGCAUAGAUGAACUCCUGCAGUUUGUAGGAUCAAUGGAGCAAAAACUUAAUUGCUCAUUAAGCUCUUUUUCUUCAGAGCUUGCAGAGAAGCAAGCUGAAAUUUGUUUAGUCCAUGACGCUUGGGAGAAGAUAGCUGCCGCUGAGAUUCUCGCCCAGCUGGAAAUUGAAGAGAAGAAGUUGAUGAUUGUGGAGCUGGAGGGUGACAUCUGCUCUAUACAACAGAAACUGGAAGCACAGGAAAAAUCCAUGUCUUCUUCACAGCAGCAAGCACUGGAUAUAGAAGCUAAACUUGAAGCAAAGCAAGUAGAAAUGAAGAAAUUAACAAAUCAAAUGAAAACCAAGCUGAGAACUUCAGAAGCCAUGGUUAAUGAGCUCACGAGCGAGAAAAGAAAUUUGGUUGAAGAUGUAAUGAAGUUGUCAACAGAAAGGGAGAAUCUAUUGGGUUUUAUUGUGGGACUUUGCGACAGGAUCAGUCAGUUCUCUAAUGAAGAUGAGCAACUGGUUGGAAACUUGGAAAGGAUGAUGCAGUCUCUUAGUGAUAGUGGAUCUGGUUUGGCCUUGAUGGGAGAUGGGGAAGUUCUCAAGUCUGUGGAAGAGAUUGAGA
rnacentral:misc_RNA from 1 species